UGGACCACAGAGAAAUGCAGCAGCUCAGGAGCAGCAUACAACAACAUUGAAUAAUCAUUUAUUGUGAGCAGAACCACUGCAACAAAGGGGUAAAGACACUCAAGUCAAUCUGUAAUUUGGUUAAUGCAUUUUUAAGUGACAAAGACCACACACUUAGAGACUAAUAAAAAUGUUUAC